rnacentral:ncRNA from 1 species
ACCAAGGAGAGUUUGAUCCUGGCUCAGGAUGAACGCUAGCGGCAGGCUUAACACAUGCAAGUCGAGGGGUAUUGAGGCUUCGGCCUUGAGAGACCGGCAAACGGGUGCGGAACACGUACACAACCUACCUUUAUCAGGGGAAUAGCCUUCGGAAACGGAGAUUAAUACCCCAUAGUAUUAUUUGAUGGCAUCAUUGGAUAAUUAAAGAAUUUCGGAUAGAGAUGGGUGUGCGUAAGAUUAGCUAGUUGGUGAGGUAACUGCUCACCAAGGCAACGAUCUUUAGCUGAUGUGAGAGCAUGAUCAGCCACACGGGCACUGAGACACGGGCCCGACUCCUACGGGAGGCAGCAGUGAGGAAUAUUGGUCCAUGGACGGAAGUCUGAAC